GAGACAUAAGUGAUGUACAGACAGUUCUGGGUACAGAACCUGUGUACGCACAGUGAUUUAGCAGUUAUGAUCUGCAGGUUGCCAAAUCCUCUUGUCUUGGUUAUCAGACCAGCAAGACCUCCGAAAAAAAUGAGGCACUGAAUUUGACUGGUGAGAGUAGGUGCAAGUCCCAGAGAAGCCACCUCAGCAGCUACAACAUACGUCUCAUCUGAGCUGAGGGACAAAAAUGAUACAAGACUCAAGUAGCACAGCUGAUGGGAGCAGUAGCUAUUCCUCUCCACGUGACUGGCUGCAUGAAUCCCAUGGGAUUCAGGAAAAUUGGAAUGAAUUGAACAAUCUCUUAAUGGAGGAGAGAAGGAAGGAAGCAGGGAGGCAUUCCCAUUAAAGGACUGUCUACAUCUGAAAGGAAGACAAGGCACCAGCUCCAGAAUCCCUGUAUCUGAAGAGGCAGCAAUAAAAUCUCCAGAGAUCCCGAACUCCCCAAGAAACUAGUGCCAUGUGCCACCUUGUGGGGAAACCAAAGAGGCUUGUCUGCUCCGUCACAGUGGAGGCCAGUGGAACUGGGACACAAACUGAAACGACCACCAUGAACCAGCUGUGUGGAUGGACUCUGAAACAGCAGCAGAUGCUACAAUAUGCAUCUUUAAAUCCCUAGCCAGCACUUGAAAGUCUGGCAGGGGAUGGGCUGUUUCACACUGCCGUGCUACCAGCUUCACCCAUGGCUUCCAGAAGGUUGGUUUGAGAUGAAUCACUGAACUCCAGUAAGAACUACAUCUCAUCAGCACUGAAUGUGGGGGGUCUUAGCAUGACUGCAGUAAUAAUGAGCCUGAUGAUACUGAAUUUAAGAAUGCCCCAGUCCCUUAGCCAAUACCUCCUAAAAAUUACUUUGGUGAAAGUACUGUUACACCUUCACAACAGAAGCUGUUAGCAUUGAGCUCACUGGGAUCCUGAUUCUGUGACAGCUGGUGUAUCCUUCUGCUAAUGCUCCCAGAUCAAAAUGGCACCCACUGACCAUGUGCUUUCCCAAAUGCCAGCAACUCUGUGCAGCACAAGGGGAGGAGGUGCAAACAGAAGAAAGGAUGCCAGCCCUGCAAUAUUCUUAACUUAAUGGCUUCACAGGGCUUUUUGAUUCAAUCUGGCCUCUUACUUCCACCAGGAGCCUGUUGGUUACACAAAGAAGGCUGCAAUACCAGAUGGCGUUCCAAGCUAACACUUGGUGGGAAGAAUCAUUGGUUCAAAGCACGAUGGGACAACCGGCACUACAACGAGCUGCCCGGCUCUGC